rnacentral:rRNA from 1 species
CCUACGGGAGGGGCUGUGGGUCAUCUUACACAGUGUAGAAUUUAGCGAUGGAGCGAUGCCGCUUGCGACAAGAAGGCCUUCGGGUUAAAAACUCCUUUUCGGAGGGACGAAUUAGGAAGGAAGGUGCUGGUCGAAAGAAGACCUUCUGUUGGAACCUGCUUUUGUGAGCUUCGAGCUAGCAGCGGCGGUAAAAGGAAACUGGCAAGCGUUAUCCGGAAUCAAGGGCCGUAAAGGUUCGUGAGAGGACCGGCUAAGUAAACGGGGAAACUCCCGGGUCCAGCUGAGAAUGGUCUGUAAAAACGGAUAGGCUUGAGGUACGGUAAAGGGGGAGAAUCUCCGGUAGAACUGGGGAAGGGCUAAGAAACCGGAAGGUAUCGAGAUGGGAAAAGGGGCCCCUAGCUCGCACAUUGACGUUGAAGCGCUAAGAUACGGUGAGCUAAGUGGAUUAGAUACCCGCGUCCUCGUGCGUGCCAACGAUGUGGGCUAGUUAUCGUGGCACG